GAUGAACGCUGGCGGCGUGCCUAAUACAUGCAAGUCGAGCGAACAGACGAGGAGCUUGCUCCUCUGACGUUAGCGGCGGACGGGUGAGUAACACGUGGAUAACCUACCUAUAAGACUGGGAUAACUUCGGGAAACCGGAGCUAAUACCGGAUAAUAUAUUGAACCGCAUGGUUCAAUAGUGAAAGACGGUUUUGCUGUCACUUAUAGAUGGAUCCGCGCCGCAUUAGCUAGUUGGUAAGGUAACGGCUUACCAAGGCAACGAUGCGUAGCCGACCUGAGAGGGUGAUCGGCCACACUGGAACUGAGACACGGUCCAGACUACUACGGGAGGCAGCAGUAGGGAAUCGGCCGCAAUGGGCGAAAGCCUGACGGAGCAACGCCGCGUGAGUGAUGAAGGUCUUCGGAUCGUAAAACUCUGUUAUGAGGGAAGAACAAAUGUGUAAGUAACUAUGCACGUCUUGACGGUACCUAAUCAGAAAGCCACGGCUAACUACGUG
rnacentral:rRNA from 1 species